rnacentral:rRNA from 1 species
GACGAACGCUGGCGGCGUGCUUAACACAUGCAAGUCGAACGGAAAGGCCUCUUUCGGGGGGUACUCGAGUGGCGAACGGGUGAGUAACACGUGAGUAACCUGCCCUUGACUUUGGGAUAACUUCAGGAAACUGGGGCUAAUACCGGAUAGGAGCUCCUGCUGCAUGGUGGGGGUUGGAAAGUUUCGGCGGUUGGGGAUGGACUCGCGGCUUAUCAGCUUGUUGGUGGGGUAGUGGCUUACCAAGGCUUUGACGGGUAGCCGGCCUGAGAGGGUGACCGGCCACAUUGGGACUGAGAUACGGCCCAGACUCCUACGGGAGGCAGCAGUGGGGAAUAUUGCACAAUGGGUGGAAGCCUGAUGCAGUAACGCCGUGUGCGGGAUGACGGCCUUCGGGUUGUAAACCGCUUUCGCUCAUGACGAAGCUUUGUGUGACGGUAGUGGGUAAAGAAGCACCGGCUAACUACGU